rnacentral:rRNA from 1 species
GACGAACGCUGGCGGCGUGCUUAACACAUGCAAGUCGAACGGAAAGGCCCUGCUUUUGUGGGGUGCUCGAGUGGCGAAAGGGUGAGUAACAAGUGAGUAACCUGCCCUUGCCUUUGGGAUAACUUCAGGAAACUGGGGCUAAUACCGGAUAGGAGCUCCUGCUGCAUGGUGGGGGUUGGAAAGUUUCGGCGGUUGGGGAUGGACUCGCGGCUUAUCAGCUUGUUGGUGGGGUAGUGGCUUACCAAGGCUUUGACGGGUAGCCGGCCUGAGAGGGUGACCGGCCACAUUGGGACUGAGAUACGGCCCAGACUCGUACGGGAGGCAGCAGUGGGGAAUAUUGCACAGUGGGCGGAAGCCUGAUGCAGCAACGCCGCGUGCGGGAUGACGGCCUUCGGGUUGUAAACCGCUUUCGCCUGUGACGAAGCGUGAGUGACGGUAAUGGGUAAAGAAGCACCGGCUAACUACGUG